rnacentral:rRNA from 1 species
AUUGAACGCUGGCGGCAUGCCUUACACAUGCAAGUCGAACGGUAACAGGUCUUCGGCUGCUGCCGAGUGGCGAACGGGUGCGUAAUACAUCGGAACGUGCCCGAUCGUGGGGGAUAACGGAGCGAAAGCUUUGCUAAUACCGCAUACGAUCUACGGAUGACAGCAGGGGACCGCAAGGCCUUGCGCGGACGGAGCGGCCGAUGGCAGAUUAGGUAGUUGGUGGGAUAAAAGCUUACCAAGCCGACGAUCUGUAGCUGGUCUGAGAGGACGACCAGCCACACUGGGACUGAGACACGGCCCAGACUCCUACGGGAGGCAGCAGUGGGGAAUUUUGGACAAUGGGCGAAAGCCUGAUCCAGCCAUGCCGCGUGCAGGAUGAAGGCCUUCGGGUUGUAAACUGCUUUUGUACGGAACGAAAAGACUCUUUCUAAUAAAGAGGGUCCAUGACGGUACCGUAAGAAUAAGCACCGGCUAACUACGUG